UUACCGGCUUGACAUGAACGAAAGUCUUUAUUGCACAGGUGUUGCAUGGCCGUCGUCAGCUCGUGUCGUGAGAUGUUUGGUUAAGUCCAUCAACGAGCGCAACCCUAUGUUAGUUGAUUCCUAACAGACUGCCCUGGUAAAGGGAGGAAGGGGGGGAUGACGUCAGGUCAGUAUUACCCUUACGCCGGGCUACAAACACGCUACAAUGGGGUACAAGGGGCACCGCGAGGGGAGCAAUCCCAAAACCGUCCCAGUUCAGAUUGCAGGCUGAAACUCGCCUGCAUGAAGCCGGAAUCGCUAGUAAUGGUAGUCAGAGAUACCGUGAAUACGUUCCCGGGUCUUGUACACACCGCCCGUCAAGCCAUGGAAGUCACAAACCGAA
rnacentral:rRNA from 1 species